CAAGAAAGCAUUAACUUUUAACCUAAAGAAGUAAUAGCCGGAGAUGUCCCUUCUCAGCAACUUACACCAUAAAAUAACUGUUUCUUAACAGGAAGUAGUCUUUUAAAGACAAAGCUGAAACUUAUAUUCAGAAAGAAUGGUGAUUACUUCAUCCACCUGAUUUCAGCUAGUUAUCAGAAAGAGCACUAAACUCCACUGUACACCAGAGCAGUUAUGGGGGGCAGGGAGGAAAAGAGCAGGGAGAGGGGGCGUUCUUCUUAAUCUUUUAUUGACUGGUUUCUUUCAUUCUAGUGUGUCUUUAUUAUUUAGGAAAAAAAAAAAUAAAAAGUGAUCCAGAGCUCCACCCAUUUGCACCUAAAUCCUGGAAUAGGUGAUGAUCCUCCUUAACCUGGCCCAGCACAUGCCCCCAAACUAAAACAAACAAACUCAUUUGCCAUACAAAUUGUUUACGAUUCAUUAAAAAGCAAAAUUGCAUAUCCCGGUGCUGGCAGCUGAGGCCGAGUCUCCAUGGGCGGAGGGGCAUUCACUGAGUUGCCUUUGUAUGCUGGGAGGACCAAGCCGGAGGUUCCCACUAUGAGCCCGGAGUCUGAGCAGCCAGAUGACACAGGAGGUAGGAAAACCUCUAGACAGCUGCUGAAUACAAGCCACUUAUUCAGGACUAAUGGGGAAAAGGAAGUGUGCAGAAUCUCUUGCAAUGGGUCACUUGCAUUUGGUGGCUGUCAUUCCUGUGAGCUGAGCUGAGCUGGGGCUGCAGAACAGCACCUGUGCAGCAGCAACACUGUAACCUCAGCCCGAGUUCUGUUUUGAAGCUUCCAGGGUACCAGAAAAUACCAUGUAAACUGCCAAGAGAGGGAAGCAAUUAGUAGCCCCACCCAGUGAUACCUACCAACUAUGGCGUGACCAGAAUGGCAAGAGAUCCACAAAGGCAGCCAACAUGUGAGCAGAUGAAGACCAUCACAAAAAUCCACAGCUGGACAUGAAGCAGACAUCAACAGGUCCUGUCGAACCCAGCCCCAACAGAUACAACUGCAUCACAACUCCUCCACCUAUGGUUCUGCAAACAUCACAGAAAAGGGGAUGGGGAGACUGUAAGAACUAAAACCCCAUGAAGUCUGCUGUGAAACAGUUUCUCCUAGAAAUGUCUGCAUAAGCAAGAUCUGAACAAUGGCAAUACCAAUAGACAGGUUGACAUGGAAGGGAAAAAUCUCAGAGUCACAUCCCUGCAUAAGGAACUGCAGGAAACUGAUGACUGCUGAGAAUGAGAGAGUUAUGUUCUAUCAGGAAUAAGCUCCAAUAUUAGUUAUUUAAUACAAACAGCAUCUCUGAAACCACACAAACACACACACACAUAUACAUAUAUAUGUAUAUGUAUAUAUAUAUGUAUAAAGCAAACAACAGAAUGGACUCAGCAGGUUGUAUUUAUAUACUUGUGCAUAUAUACAUGUAACAAUAAUAAUGGAACGAGAAGAGGCUAUCAACUUAAGAUUUUUGGGAACUUUGGGAGUAGCUAGAGGGAGAAAAGGGAAGAGGAAAGUGUUGUAAUUAUAUUUUAAUUAAAAUAUAUAAUAAUUACAAAGUGAAAGCAUUCAGUGAAUUUUGUUUUGUGAUUAGGGCAGUUUCUCAUAAUUUCUGAAAUGGAUCUAAACAUACUGCUGCAUUUUGUACUAUGUAUUUAUGCAGAACAGUGUUCUCUGAAUUGAUGAUUAUAAAAAUAAACAUUGAUCACUUAACAAACAUUCAAGAUGUUCUAUAUCCUUCAGUAUCAAAUCAGUCAAGGUUCAGUUCUUUAUGUGAACAUUAACAAGCAUAUCCAUUUUAUUAGUAAGCAAAUUUGAUUUAAUUUUUAAUAAAUGAUCAAAUUGUAUGUAUAUCAAAUAAUUGCUUUAAAAUAUUUUUUGUAAUUUAUUACCAGUAAGUAUAUACCUAUUUUAUAUACAUAUAUAUCAAUGGUCAUGUAAAAAUUUCUCAGGUAUAAAGGGGUUGUGAGUAGAAAGUUUAGGAAGUCUUGUUCUCCACUGUCUAUAUCUGAAUAAUAUUUUUUGUAGUAUAG